GACGAAGGUGGCGAGCGUUGUUCGGAAUCACUGGGCAUAAAGCGCACGUAGGCGGUGUCGUAAGUCGGAUGUGAAAUCCCUCGGCCUAACCGAGGAACUGCGUCCGAUACUGCGAUGCUUGAGGACCAGAGGGGUGCAUGGAAUUUCCGGUGGAGCGGUGAAAUGCGUUGAUAUCGGAAGGAACUCCGGCGGCGAAAGCGAUGCACUGGCAGGUUUCUGACGCUGAGGUGCGAAAGCCAGGGGAGCAAACGGG
rnacentral:rRNA from 1 species